rnacentral:rRNA from 1 species
GACAGAGGUGCCGAGCGUUAGGCGGAAUCACUGGGCUUAAAGCGUGUGUAGGCGGCCCGUUAAGUGCCUCGUGAAAUCCCCCGGCUCAACCGGGGAACUGCCGGGCAUACUGGCGGGCUUGGGUCGCUCAGGGGCAGACGGAACAGGCGGUGGAGCGGUGAAAUGCGUAGAUAUCAGGAGGAACACCUGUGGUGUAGACAGCUUACUGGACCAUUUCUGACGCUGAGACACGAAAGCGUGGGUAGCAAACAGG